GAUGAACGCUGGCGGCGUGCCUAAUACAUGCAAGUCGAGCGAACGGACGAGAAGCUUGCUUUUCUGAUGUUAGCGGCGGACGGGUGAGUCACACGUGGAUAACCUACCUAUAAGACUGAGAUAACUUCGGGAAACCGGAGCUAAUACCGGAUAAUAUUUUGAACCGCAUGGUUCAAAAGUGAAAGACGGUCUUGCUGUCACUUAUAGAUGGAUCCGCGCUGCAUUAGCUAGUUGGUAAGGUAACGGCUUACCAAGGCUACGAUGCAUAGCCGACCUGAGAGGGUGAUCGGCCACCCUGGAAGUGGGACGGGCACCAGACUCCUACGGGAGGCACCAGUAGGGAAUGUGCGGCAAUGGGGGGAAGUCUGACGGAGCAGGGCCGAGUGAGUGAUGGAGGUCUUCGGAGCGUGAAGCCGUGUUAUUAGGGAAGAACAUAUGUGGAAGUAGCUGUGGACAGAUUGACGGUAACUGAUCAGAAAGCCACGGCUAACUACGUG
rnacentral:rRNA from 1 species